GUGGGCGUAGCUCAGUUGGUUAGAGCGCCAGGUUGUGGCCCUGGAGGUCGAGGGUUCGAAUCCCUCCGUUCACCCCA
rnacentral:tRNA from 2 species